rnacentral:rRNA from 1 species
AUAGACCGAGCGACUCAGAGAACACGUGUAUCGAGCGACGACAGCUGUCGUCGUGGGAUGGCCGGCCCGGUCGUCGCCCUCAUCUCCUGAUGGGUAGUGCGGGGCACGGCCAGGGACGGAUGAAAGCAAAAACCGGCGCAGCAUCGCGUCAAGGAAUAAUUCAAAGGCACGAGCCCCGCGUGGGGCUCGGUGGCGUGGGGUGCUUCGGCACGUUGCGCGGUUGGACAUGACUCUCGGCAAUGGAUAUCUCGGCUCUCGCAUCGAUGAAGAGCGCAGCGAAAUGCGAUACGUGGUGCGAAUUGCAGAAUCCCGCGAACCAUCGAGUCUUUGAACGCAAGUUGCGCCCGAGGCCGUCAGGCCAAGGGCACGUCCGCCUGGGCGUCAAGCGUUGCGUCGCUCCGUGCCACAGCUCUGACCGCAUCGCAGUGUGGAGUUUGAGGCUCGGAUGUGCAGAGUGGCUCGUCGUGCCCAUCAGUGCGACGGGUUGAAGAAAGGGCAACGUCUCGCAGGCCGCGAACAACAAGGGGUGGGUGAAUGCUGCGAGCACAACCUGCGUUGUCUCGUGUUGGCCCGAGAGAUGGAUCGCGCCUUCAAGGUGAUCCCGACCCAUGCACCGAUCCGCAUGCGGGCGGUGUCUUGGAAU